rnacentral:lncRNA from 10 species
CACUGAGAGCCUUCAAGGGGCAACAGUGAAGCUAGUUUGCAAGAAAAUGCCUGUGACCAUGAAUGCAUUGAUCUGUGCACACAUGUGGCAUCCACAUCGCUCUGCCUACGUGGUUACCAAGGCAUGAAGAGAACAAUAGAGAGAGCCCUGACAGGUGUGUGAGGGUACCUUACCCUCACAGCACCUCUGUCUGCCCAUAAUGGCCCAAGCAAUAGACUGGCCCUCAGAAUGUGCCUGAGGCAGUUUAAUUAAGGCCAUUUUGGCACUUGACUAUUCCAGAAGGUUGUAUGGAGGUGGGAAAUAGGGCUCUUUCAAUCUUCUCUUCAAUGCUGGCAGCAACCCUGGCUCAGGGCACAGCUGUACCCCCAUUUCCUUCAGAUGUCCCCUCACAGAAGGAUG